rnacentral:rRNA from 1 species
UUGCACGCUGGCGGCAGGCCUAACACAUGCAAGUCGCGCGGAUGAAGGGAGCUUGCUCCUGGAUUCAGCGGCGGACGGGUGAGUAAUGCCUAGGAAUCUGCCUGGUAGUGGGGGAUAACGUCCGGAAACGGGCGCUAAUACCGCAUACGUCCUGAGGGAGAAAGUGGGGGAUCUUCGGACCUCACGCUAUCAGAUGAGCCUAGGUCGGAUUAGCUAGUUGGUGGGGUAAAGGCCUACCAAGGCGACGAUCCGUAACUGGUCUGAGAGGAUGAUCAGUCACACUGGAACUGAGACACGGUCCAGACUCCUACGGGAGGCAGCAGUGGGGAAUAUUGGACAAUGGGCGAAAGCCUGAUCCAGCCAUGCCGCGUGUGUGAAGAAGGUCUUCGAAUUGUAAAGCACUUUAAGUUGGGAGGAAGGGCAGUAAGUUAAUACCUUGCUGUUUUGACGUUACCAACAGAAUAAGCACCGGCUAACUUCGUG